rnacentral:misc_RNA from 1 species
GCCACAUCCAUAUCUUACCAUCUCUUUCCCCAGGUAGCUUAACAGAGGAAAGGGAUCUAACAUUGAUUGUUAGAUUUCCCUGCUGGUGAGUGUAACAUAGCACAUGUGCUUCAGCUAGCUCCUUACAAGACCUACAGUAGGAUGUCUGAUCAAACAGGUCAUCACGCAGGUAUCUUCCAAGUGGCUUGUCAAAAGAACCGUAGAACUUUAUGCGCAAGAGCCGGGAGCGUUCACAUACAGUUCCUUUCAGUACACAGCGGCUUGAAAAAGAAACUAGUAUGCUCUGGUGUGUGUCAGUGGCUGAGAAGUAUUCACUAGAGACUCCAUCUUCAUCUAUCCUCUUAGGUUUUGUUGAUUCAUGAGUCUCCCUAAGCUGCCUUUCUUCUUGAGCAAUGAUAUCUGGCAAUUCUGGUUGAGAAAUGUUUUUAACACCUGAAGGAGGCACCAUAAGCAUCUUCUGAUCCUCAAAUUCACUUAUGGUGAAUGAGUCCAAUCCCACAUUAGACUCUAAAUUAUCAUGGCAUGCAUCAGAGAGUGUAUUUCCAAACCUACAAUC